CGCAAGGGGGACGGUUACCACGGAGUGAUUCAUGACUGGGGUGAAGUCGUAACAAGGUAGCCGUAGGGGAACCUGCGGCUGGAUCACCUCCUUA
rnacentral:rRNA from 1 species